AUUUAAUGAACUACAAUGAGCAAUCAUCAUUCCUAAUCCAAUAAUACAUGGAAAUUUGUGACAAUCAACGACGUUUUACCGAAGAAAGUAUUUCUCGCAGGCAGUGUAGUUUCAAAUAUUUUUUAAUGAAUGGAGGUAAGAAAAUGCAAGUCUGUUUGAAGACACUACUAAACGUAUAUGAUCUCACACCCAAAUGCAUUCAAGUACUACAGACAAAAAUAAAGAAUGGUGCCUCUUUUGUGGAUUGUAGAGAUAAACAUCUGAAUCGUCCACAUUGUACAGUAACUGACGUUGUUGAUAUCAUUAUGCAGCAUAUUGAGUCAUUUCUGAUGUAAGAGAGCUACUGAUUGUUAUUUUGAUGAUUUUGUUGGAGAGAG
rnacentral:lncRNA from 1 species